UAGAGAGAGAGAAAGAGAGGUUGCGUGAAAGAGAGAGAAGGAGAAAGAGAAAGAAAGAAGGAGAAGGAGGAGAAGAAGAGAGGAGGGAUUCAAAAUCCAUAGGUGUUGGAGGCAAGCAAACAAGAGGGUGACCAUAGUUAUUUUGAGUUCUUUGAUUUCUAUAAAAGAAGGUAAUAAAUAGGGUUUCUCUUUGGCACGCGUGGUGAUGUGGGGAGUUCCGACGUCAGAGUGUGUAUCCUAUGGGCGAGCAAACGAUCAGCUUAAACGCCAAUUUUAAAGAAUGAUGUUAUGUUUUAUUUUGGUUUCAUAACUUAUCAAUGAGACUUGAAUUAUAUAUUUAUUUUUAAAAAAAUGUUGCAUGAGAACUCUUAUUUUAUUUUAAACUACUGGGCCCAACUUGCAUGUUUUAGCAAGGACCCACUGAAAUUUUCAUAUUAUAAGAGGUUUUCUUUUAUAAGUUUAUGAGCAUGGAAAUGUUUUACAAAGUAUUA